GCAUAAUGACAUGCACACACAUACUAACAGACAUGUACACAUACAUGCACACAUUCACAUAGAUGUACCUACACAGUCACACAGACAUGCAUACAUAGGCACACACAGACAUGUACACAUACGUACACAGUCACACACAGACAUGCACACACAAAGGCACAUACUAGCAGACAUGUACACAUGCACACAUUCACAUAGACAUAUGUAAACACACAGUCACACACACUGACAGACAUGCACACACAUGCACACAUUCACAUAGACAUACGUACACAGUCAUACACUGACAGACAUGUACACACAUGCAUAAUAUGCACACAUGUACACACAGUCACAUAAAUAGACACAUAUACACACAC
rnacentral:lncRNA from 1 species